rnacentral:rRNA from 1 species
AUGGCGGAGAUGGUGGCCGCCAUGGUCAUCCGGCCACUGGUGUCCAUGCUGAUGAGCAAGGCGUCCAGCUCCCUCCUGGAUGAGUACAAGGUGAUGGAGGGAAUGGAGGAGCAGCACAAGGUUCUCAAGCGCAAGCUUCCGGCCAUCCUCGACGUCAUGGCCGACGCCGAGGAGCAGGCGACGGGGCAUAGAGAUGGGGCCAAAGCCUGGCUCCAGGAGCUCAAGACAGUGGCUUAUCAGGCAAAUGAAGUCUUCGACGAGUUCAAGUACGAAGCACUUCGCCGUGAAGCCAGGAAGAAGGGGCAUUACAGAAAGCUCGGCUUUGAUGUAAUAAAACUCUUCCCUACUCACAAUCGUAUUGUGUUCCGUUACCAAAUGGGUCGCAAGCUUUGCCGGAUUCUGAAGGCCAUUGAUGUCCUUAUAGCAGAGAUGCAUGCCUUUAGGUUCAAGUAUCGACCACAACCACCAGUGUCCAAAGUUACUAAGUGGGAAAGGCUGAAGGUUUGUCUUCAGCAUGGUGGAAUGGGUAGUGCAUUGUUGACAACAACUCGUGAUAAACAAGUUGCUGAAAUUAUGGGUGCAGCAUCCUACAAUCUCAAUGUUUUGGAGGAUUGCUUCUUAAAGGAAAUUAUCGAGGCAAAAGCAUUCGGUUUGGAGAAAGAAAAGCCUGUUGAACUGGUGGCGAUGGUUGUUGAGAUUGUGAAGAGAUGUUGUGGUUCUCCUUUAGCUGCAACUGCACUAGGCUCUGUACUCUGUGCCAAGACCAGCGUGAAAGAAUGGAAGAUUGUAUCAUCUAGAAGCAGCAUUUGCACGGCAAAAACUGGAAUUUUGCCAAUACUCAAGCUUAGCUACAACGACUUGCCAUCACACAUGAAGCAGUGCUUUGCCUUCUGUGCUGUAUUUCCCAAGGAUUACAAGAUUAAUGUGGAGAAGCUGAUCCAACUAUGGAUCGCAAAUGGCUUUAUUCCAGAGGAUGAGGAAGAUAGUCUUGAAACCACUGGAAAACAUAUUUUUGAGGAGCUGGCCUCGAGCCAACUGAAACCGAGUGGCUUCUUGAUUCUGCUGGGCAUUUGUUUUUGGCAUGUGAAGGAACAUAAGCUGUUUGCAAGCCUUGAAGCUCUGUACACAGACAACAUCAUUUCUACUAAAACCAAAGUAUCUGUGUCACCUAAGACAUUGGAUCUCUCCGACUGCUUUCAUCUUGAUCGACUUCCAAGGCAAAUGAAGUAUAUGACUUCGCUUCGUCACCUCUACACUCAUGGAUGUCGAAAGUUGAAGAGUAUGCCUCCAGAACCCGGAGAACUCAUAGACCUGCAGACACUUACAUGUUUCGUAGCAGCAGCUACAAGCCCGGAUUGCAGUGAUGUUGCACAGCUGCAGGGUUUAAACCUUGGUGGUCACCUAGAGCUAUGUAGGCUAGAGAAUGUUGAAAAAGCAGAAGGAAAAGUGAAAAAACUCGGGAAAAAGAAGGAUCUUAGAGAACUGACACUAAGAUGGAGUUCUGUUUGUGAUAGCAACGUGCUUGACAAUUUUGAGCCUCAUGAUGGGCUGCUUGUUCUGAAGAUAUAUUCUUAUGGAGGGAACUGUGUGGUCUUUUUCAGUUGUGGUACAUCCUUCACGUUUCCAAAAUUGAAGGUGCUUACACUAGAGCAUCUGUCAGAUUUUGAAAGAUGGUGGGAAACAAAUGAGAGAGAAGAAAAACAGAUAGUAUUUCCUCUGCUUGAGAAGUUGUUUAUUCGACAUUGUGGAAAGCUGAUAGCAUUACCUGAAGCACCAUUGCUUGGAGAACCAAGUCGUGGACGUAAUAGACUGGUAUGCACACCAUUUUCUCUGUUUGAGAGCUUGUUUAUUACAUAUUGUGGAAGGCUGGUAGCAUUGCGUGAAGCACCAUUGGUUCAAGAACAAUGUCGUGGAGGUUAUAGACUGGCGCCAUCAGCAUUUCCUGCUUUAAAGAUAUUGAAGAUGGAAAGCAAGAGAUCUUCCAUUGUGUAG